rnacentral:rRNA from 1 species
AUACGUAGGUGGCAAGCGUUGUCCGGAUUUACUGGGUGUAAAGGGUGCGUAGGCGGGGCAGCAAGUUGGAUGUGAAAUCCUCGGGCUCGACUCGAGAACUGCAUUCAAAACUGUUGCUCUUGAGUGCAGUAGAGGCAAGCGGAAUUCCCGGUGUAGCGGUGAAAUGCGCAGAGAUCGGGAGGAACACCUGUGGCGAAGGCGGCUUGCUGGGCUGUUACUGACGCUGAGGCACGAAAGCAUGGGUAGCAAACAGGAUUAGAUACCCUGGUAGUCCACGCUGUAAACGAUGAAUACUAGGUGUGGGGGGACUGACCCCCUCCGUGCCGCAGUUAACACAAUAAGUAUUCCACCUGGGGAGUACGAUCGCAAGAUUGAAACUCAAAUGAAUUGACGGGG